rnacentral:misc_RNA from 1 species
UACGGAUGGUGCAAGCGUUACUCGGAAUUACUGGGCGUAAAGCGUCCGCAGGCGUUUCCCCAAGUCUGACAUUAAAGUGCGGAGCUCAACUCCGUGAUGUGUCGGAAACUAGGGAAAUUGAGUCAUACAGAGGCAACUGGAAUUACGUGUGUAGGGGUAAAAUCCGUUGAUCCACGUAGGAACGCCAAAAGUGAAAACAGGUUGCUGGGUAUGUACUGACGCUCAGGGACGAAAGCGUGGGGAGCGAAGGGG